rnacentral:sRNA from 1 species
GCUGGGCAUGGAAGCUCACACCUGUAAUCCCAGAUACUUGGGAGGCUGAGGCAGGAGGAUCAUGUUAGAAGCCAGCUAGCACAAUUUAGUGAGACCCUGUCACAA